UGGCUCAGAGCGAACGCUGGCGGCAGGCCUAACACAUGCAAGUCGAACGGACCCUUCGGGGUUAGUGGCGGACGGGUGAGUAACACGUGGGAACGUGCCUUUAGGUUCGGAAUAGCUCCUGGAAACGGGUGGUAAUGCCGAAUGUGCCCUUCGGGGGAAAGAUUUAUCGCCUUUAGAGCGGCCCGCGUCUGAUUAGCUAGUUGGUGGGGUAAUGGCCCACCAAGGCUACGAUCAGUAGCUGGUCUGAGAGGAUGACCAGCCACAUUGGGACUGAGACACGGCCCAAACUCCUACGGGAGGCAGCAGUGGGGAAUCUUGCGCAAUGGGCGAAAGCCUGACGCAGCCAUGCCGCGUGUAUGAUGAAGGUCUUAGGAUUGUAAAAUACUUUCACCGGUGAAGAUAAUGACUGUAGCCGGAGAAGAAGCCCCGGCUAACUUCGUG
rnacentral:rRNA from 1 species